rnacentral:rRNA from 1 species
CGGAGGGAGCUAGCGUUGUUCGGAAUUACUGGGCGUAAAGCGCGCGUAGGCGGCUUUGUAAGUUAGAGGUGAAAGCCUGGAGCUCAACUCCAGAACUGCCUUUAAGACUGCAUCGCUUGAAUCCGGGAGAGGUGAGUGGAAUUCCGAGUGUAGAGGUGAAAUUCGUAGAUAUUCGGAAGAACACCAGUGGCGAAGGCGGCUCACUGGACCGGCAUUGACGCUGAGGUGCGAAAGCGUGGGGAGCAAACAGGAUU